UUUGAUCCUGGCUCAGAACGAACGCUGGCGGCAGGCUUAACACAUGCAAGUCGAACGCAUCCUUCGGGGUGAGUGGCAGACGGGUGAGUAACGCGUGGGAAUCUACCCAUCUCUACGGGAUAGCUCCGGGAAACUGGAGAUAAUACCGUAUACGUCCUCCGGGAGAAAGAUUUAUCGGGGAUGGAUGAGCCCGCGUUGGAUUAGCUAGUUGGUGGGGUAAUGGCCUACCAAGGCGACGAUCCAUAGCUGGUCUAAGAGGAUGAUCAGCCACAUUGGGACUGAGACACGGCCCAAACUCUACGGGAGGCAGCAGUGGGGAAUAUUGGACAAUGGGCGCAAGCCUGAUCCAGCCAUGCCGCGUGAGUGAUGAAGGCCCUAGGGUUGUAAAGCUCUUUCAGUGGGGACGAUAAUGACGGUACCCACAGAAGAAGCCCCGGCUAACUUCGUGCCAGCAGCCGCGGUAAUACGAAGGGGGCUAGCGUUGUUCGGAAUUACUGGGCGUAAAGCGCACGUAGGCGGACAUUUAAGUCAGGGGUGAAAUCCCGGGCUCAACCCCGGAACUGCCUCUGAUACUGGGUGUCUUGAGUGUGGUAGAGGUGAGUGGAAUUGCGAGUGUAGAGGUGAAAU
rnacentral:rRNA from 1 species